UACGUAGGGGGCUAGCGUUGUCCGGAAUCAUUGGGCGUAAAGAGCGUGUAGGCGGUCCGGUAAGUCCGUUGUGAAAGUCAGGGGCUCAACCCUUGAAUGCCGGCGGAUACUGUCGGGCUAGAGUCCGGAAGAGGCGAGUGGAAUUCCCGGUGUAGCGGUGAAAUGCGCAGAUAUCGGGAGGAACACCAAUGGCGAAGGCAGCUCGCUGGGACGUGACUGACGCUGAGGUGGCGAAAGCGUGGGGAGCAAACAGG
rnacentral:rRNA from 1 species